AAGAAAAAUUUAAUGUCACGGCGCUUAGAAAAAGACGUUUUUUGAAAAACGUCUUCAUUUCUCGUUUUCCAAGACGCGUGCCUUCGCUGAUGCUUAACCUUGCCAAUUAAUUAAUGAGUUAAAAAAAGGAAAAAGAAACAAACCUCUGAUACUCAAACCUAAUAGAAUACAACUUUUAUUUCCAACAUCAGAGUCACACAGAUUCAUUACCCUCUCCCCUCUCUUUCUCCUUCUCCAACAUUAUUCUCUGUCUAAAAUGGCAUGAAUGAAGCUCUCUUUGUAGAUAUUGAUGAAGCAACUGAUGAUGAAGAUUUCAAGUAAGUCUAUUGUAGAUCAAAACCUUAAAUCUCUCAAUCGUUUUUCAUUAUUUUUUUAUUUUGAAAUCUUGUUUUGUGCACUCGAUUUGACUAAUUUUUUUCGAGAUUAUUCGAUCUCUCUUCGAUAUUGUUCGAUCUCCCUUGAUUUGACCAAUUUUCUUCAAGAUUGUUCGAUCUCCCUUGAUUUUCAUUUAUCUAGGGUUUCAUUCUACACGGCGCUGAAAAAAUGCAGUGGAUCUUUUUGAAAGGGCUUUUCAAUCUCGCGGUGUGCACUCGAGAUUCAGAGAUUUUCAUGACUGCACAGUAACAAUCUAGAUCUGUUUUGAUUUACAUUCUAUUAGUUUGAUUUCAUUCGAUUGACUGAAACGGUUGCUUAGGAUUUCGAUUUCCAUUGUUGAUCUAGGUGCUCUUCUCUUUUAUUGGUCUGACUCAAGCUUGUUUUGGAUGAUUUUGAUUUCGAUCUAUGUUUUUGUUUUUCUUAGGUAUCGGAUCUAUAGCUCUUUUAUUUGUUUUAGUUCUCUCAGGUAGUCAGCUUCAAUGGUUUUGAUCUGUAACUGUAUUUUAUUCAAAUAGUUUUAUUGUUUGUUCUACAAAUAGGUAGCUUAGAAGAUUUAUAUAUUUUCUCUCACUCUCUGUGUUUCCUCUUUUUAAGGUUUUUAUUUGCUAAAAGAUGAUUGAGCCUUUUGGGAUGAAAUAUGUUUUAAAGUUGAUAUUAAAUAAAUUAAGUUAUCAUUUUCACCAAAUAAGGGUGAAAUGGAGGGGUUUUGGCCAAAUUUCCCUUAUAAUUAUAUGUUUGUGUAUGUGUAAACAAAAUAAAAGCAAAGAAGAACCUGUGUACAAAUCUGAAUGCUCAUUUUUUAGCCUAGCCUGAAAAGGCCUCUACUCUAACAAAUUGAAAUAACUAAAUAUCAUAAUCUAUAUCCAUGCUACUAACAAAAGAUUCAAUAAGAGAAAAGAUAUACUUUAUGCUUAGACCUUUUUCAUAUAUUUGUGAAAAAUUUAAUCCCUCAAUCUAAUUAUAUAAAUGUUCUAAUUUUAAACAUUUAUUGAUCUAAUUUUGAACUUUAACAUUUUCUCACAAUUAAACUUCCAUUUUAAAAUAUAUUAAUACCAACAUUAGUAUUAUUAAUAUGAAACAUGUGCAACACUUCAUCAUUUACAGACUUUGAAAGUGUCAAGAUGGAAUUGAUCAAAAAUACUUUUUGUUGUGUUUGGAUCAUGGAUUGUGGAAGGGAUUUGUGAAGGGAAAGGAAAAGUCAAGGGUUUCUUUUCGCAAAUUUCUAUCCGAAUUCAUGAUUCAAACAUAGCCUAUAAUAAUCUAUUAAGUGUAAUACAAUGGAGUAUUGAAUAUGAUUUUUAAAAUAUAACUAAUACAAGAUUCCAAUAUUUAACUCUUUAAUUAUUCUAAUGGAGAAGAUGUGGAGGGGAAGACCUAAGCUGACAAGGGAUGCGGUAGUUAAAAAAGAUAUUAAUUUAUUUAAUUUAAUCGAGCAUAUAGCCCUUGGUAGAUAUUGCAGAUAAUUGAGUUACAGCUUCCUUCAUUUUUCAACAACUUUGAUCCUCGUGCUGCUCUUGCUAAUUUCCUUUCAGGUGUGCAAGCAUAUUUGGCUGGGCUUACAUUCGCAUUAGCCGUUUCACCUUGCAGCACUCCUGUGCUGGGAACCCUGCUUGGAUAUGUAGCUGCAUCCAAGGAUCCAGUAAUAGGUGGCAGCUUACUGUUGACAUACACAACUGGCUAUGUUGCUCCUCUACUUCUAGCUGCUUCUUUUGCAGGAGCAUUGCAGGUAUACUCUUUUUUCACUAUGUAAAAUCUUGUAUGUGAACUCUUGAUGUGCAUAAUUUACUGCUGCUUUUCCCCUCCUUUCCGAGGUAUAUAUAGAUAGUGCAUUGUGGGCCAGGGCCAAAAUUAUGAUUGUUCCAAUGGCUUAGUGUACUUAGCCAAUGAUUUGGCAGGGCCUACAAGGGAGACAAUGGGACUAUGCCCGUGUCAUCACUGAUAAACUAUUUGCCACUCUGUUUCGUUCUUACUCCUACACUUUUUGUUUGUCUAAUUUUUAUUGUUUGUUUGUAUCUUGGGCAAUUUCUAACACAUUGUCUGUAGAGCCUGCUUUCAUUCUGCAAAUUCUUAGCAUGGAUCAACCCAAUGAGGUAUUUUCUCCCCAUUUUUUGGCAUUAGGAUAAGUUGUGCUUGAGGUUCCUUUUUUGCAUCUACUCUUCAAUGUUCAUCUUCAUUAGUGGUUAGAUGUUGACAAUUAUGUUCCUUCGAGUGUGGUUGUCGCUCAUACACAUGACGUUAGAAAAAAGAAGCUUUCAGAAAUGAUCGGGGGUUCUGGAGCUGGUUCAGUUGGUUCAAUCUCAGGUACAGUUCAAACUUCUAGUGGAAGCAUUUCUUCUGCAGCGGUGAGUUUAUUCUUGCCUUUCAAAUUAAUGGCCAUGCUUUGUAUACUUUUUACCUAUGAACUAAUAGAAAUUUUAGGGCUUCAUGAAGUAAUCUUGACACUAGAAUUUUGGUGGAUGGAACUUCUAAUGAAAAUUCCAUUUUUGGCUUACUCAAAAGGGUUCUGCUUUUUCAAUUACUUACCUCCUUCAUCUCUUCUCCAAAAGAUAAGGAUCCAUGGAAUUUUCAUUAGAGAAAAGAAGAUACAAUGGAUGGAUGAGAUUAAAAA